GCAGCCUGGAGGUCGAGUCGCCCAUCCUGAAGGUGGAGCUGCAGAGCCGGAGGAGGCGCCGCGGUGCCGUUAGCAUCGCCCCUCUGAGGGCGGGGAAGGGAGGCGAAGGACUCUGGUGAUCUUUGCAGCAGUCCACUGUGUCAUGUUUAUGCAACCCGCUGCAUCAUGAUGAUUGGGCAAUUUAUUGUCUUUUCCAAUCUCUAUGCCAAUCCUGCAUGAUUUCAUGUUGUUGGGGUUUUGUUUUAUAUGUAUCUAGAAUAUGUGCUUAAAAAAUCUUCCAAGACCAGUGUAAUAAAAGCACAGGAACAAGAAGUGAAUGGAGUAGACUUGCAGAAAAUACCCAUCAUCUUUUAGGGAGUAAUACACAUAGUGCAGAUUUUAUGUACAAUAAGCAGUAUAUUUCCCAAGGUGGGAGACACAGAAGCUGGAACAGAAUCACAGAAUUAUCAAGGUUGAAAAAGACCUAGAAAAUCAUCUAGUCCAACCAUCACCAAUACUUCCCAGCUAAAUCAUAUUCAUCAACACAGCAUCCAGACGUUUCUUGAACACUCCCAUGGUCGGUGACUCCACCACCUCCCUGGGCAGUGCAUUCUAAUGCCCAGAAGAUCAUGGAACACAGGUGUUUUGUUAUUCAGAGAAUCACAAGGUUGGAAAGGACCUACAAGAUCAUCUAGUCCAACUGUCCUCCCUUUACCAUACCUACAGAAAGCCACUAAACCAUCUCUCCUAGCUCCCAGAGAAUUGUUUGUAAAGUCAUGGUCAGGAGAAGGGAAGUUUGUACAAAAACUGCUGACUGCAAAGAAAGUUUGUGAACUAGACAGAUGCCUUGCACUGUGAAUUUCAGAAUAAGGGAAAACAUAAUGCACAAAUGUGAGGCAAAGACGUUAUAGGAAGGAAAUGAGAGUAAUUCAAUGCAAAAUUCAUAUGGAGGGUUGUAAAGAAGUUGGAUUGUUGCCUGGGUAGAAAGGAAGAUGAUAAAAUGACAGUCUAGUCUAAAAACAUACUGUGCCAAAAGAGCAAAGUGCCAUUCACCUCCCAGUCAAACAGGAUUUUACAGGUGUGUGGUGCUCUUGAGACACAGAAUUUAUUCAGCUUUAUAGUGGUGUUGGAUAUUUACAGCGAUAUUGAGAAUUCCUACAUGCUCCUACAUUUGGAGAAGCAGGAAAUCCAUGCUGUACGAUCCAGGCUUCCCAUAAUAGAAUCACAGAAUCACAGAAUUAUCAAGGUUGGAAAAGACCUAGAAGAUCAUCUAGUCCAACCAUUACCGAUACUUCCCAGCUAAAUCAUAUUCAUCAACACUCAGCAUUCAAAUCUCAGAUGGAGACUUGAGAAAUGAGCUGUCCCAUCUCUGUCUUCAGAUUCACUGUUCUUCACAAAGUAACAGAAUAAUAGGGCUUGGAAGGGAGUUCUGGAGACCAUCUCGUGCAACCUAAGGCAGGUUUCCUAGAGUUCCUGUACGUGAAACAACAUCCUAUUUGAACACAAGUAGUCCUGUGCUUGCAGCCCAUUUGGAGUUUUGUUUGUAUGUCUAUUCAGUUAGAAUCGUUGAGAAAUAGGACCAGAGAGAUCCUCAGGUGAUAUCUUAAAAAUCUACAAUACCUUAAAGGAAAUCCAUUAAAGAAGUAAACGUAGAGAUGCGUAUGAUGGAUAACUGCAAUAUUAAGAAACAAAAAUAAAAGAAUUGGAAAUGUUCAAUGAAAAACUGAAUUCCAUUUUAAACAUAUUCUCCUAUAUAGCAUCACCUAUACUGAUGAUUCCCAACUCUUAGAAGCCUCUAAAAGUGAUGACAUCCACUGGACUGAUAGCAAAUAAUUCUCUUCCUCCUUAUUUGUCUUCAUUUUUUUCAUAUCACCAUAUAUUUCUAUACUCACUUCACUCCCUGCCAAGGACAUGCAUCUAAAAAAAAUCCAACGGUUAAUGUUACAAGGGACAGCAGUGCUGCUUUUACUGUAAGAGUUAAUGUGUCUGUCGAUGAAACUGUGAAUGCCCAACCUGAAUCUUUGACUGUGAGCACUCCUGCUGCCUCGUUGUGAGUGGUUCCAUUUUCAUAGCCAUCAUCCUUGCAUGAAUCGAGGUCAAUCAGAGGUGAAGGACAGAAAAACAGACUUCUGUUUGGACAAUUCAGUCUGCAGAUGAAGUGGCUGAGACCUUACAGGGCCCUUAUGCUCUCUGAAAAUCCAGCAUCCCCUCUGCUCAGUGUUUCCAGUGGUCUUCCAUGCUGUAUAUGCUGUCCACAUGUAUUUAAAUUAUGUCUCUUAAAUCAGAGGUGUUCUUUGUUACAGGAAAAACUGCUUUGUCACCCAUUGCAUUCAGCUGCUUCGUUUGUGAAGCUGACAGCAGCAGAGAAGGGCACUAAAGGAUUGACACUGGGACUCCAAAACAGUGGUUAGAGCAGUGACAGAUAGGAGGGCUGCUGAAGCAUUUCGAUUACAGCUAUUAAGGGCAGGAAACAGUCUUUCAUUCUAUGUUUGUAUGGCACUUCACACUCAGUGUUCCUGCUUCGGAGCUGGAUCCUAAGUAUUAAAUAGUAAUAAGCCAUGAUGCCACUUAGCAAAUAAAAACUGCUGGUUUCCAGAAGUGCUUAGUGCUUCUUCACUCCGUGGAAACAUAAUACUUCUGUAAUUUGUUAAAUCUCCUUUGUAUUUCAGGAAAGUGUGAACUAUCCCCUCUUCUCAUUCUAGAGGCUGAGAAGGAAGAGUCUAAAAAGUAUUGCUAGUGCAACCAUUUUACAGUGUGUGCUGAAGACCUUCAGGAAAUCAGUGUGAAGAAGGAAAAAGGUGCAAAGGAGAAAACAGGAAGAAAAGGGAUGUGAACUUAACCUGUGUCCUUCCAGGCAGGGCCAUACACAGAUUCCCAAUCAUUCCAUCUUUUAGGAGCAUGAUCAAAAUACAGUUGAUGUUCAUUGUAUAUAGUCCUUGCCUUUAGAGCAGGAUUUGCUCACCUUUUUGGAUUAUUGUUUUUCCAGUGUAGCAAAAUGGGCUGUGUUUUGCAACUAGUAAAGCCCCUAUGAGUAUCUCAUGGUAAUCACACUGAUGGUAUAGCCAGGUUUCUAUUGCAGUGUGCAUCUUCUGGAAGAGCACCGGUUCGGUUUUUGCUUUUUGAUUUUAAAGCAUAUAGCAACAGAGGAUCCUCCAUGGGCUUUGGUGGUUUAUUCAGUGCUUAAUUGCUGUUAGAAACACACGCUUUAUUUUUAGUUCAGCUUCCUUUGGAUCAUAGCUUAUCUUUCCUUGCACGAAGAGAUUUGUUUUCUCAUUCUGCAAGUAUUGUCAUUGCCCUUCUUUGAACUCUCCAGGUUUUUAGUUGACAUCUUAUUUAAUUAUUUAUUUCAUUGCCCAGUCUGAUGAAGAUAUGAAUAAUUAGUGCAGCAUGCUGGUACUGGUCACAACAAAGCAAUUACAGAUCUAAUAUGGUUUCCUGAUUCCUGCUUGGUUUCGUGUUCACGUGUCCAAGGGCAGUCAGUAUUAGCCUUGCAGCGCUGGAGGCAUGAUGCUGGCAUUCCCAAGGGCUCUACAGGAAUUUAUUACCAAUGUAUAGAAAUCCAUAGAUUAUGGCAAAUAAACAGGAAAUUGUGGCCUGUGUCUUUCCUUGGCCUCCUUUAUAUUACUAGGAUAGUCUUAUAGCAAUUUCUGAUAGUCUUUGUUACUACCGCUCCUGCAGUUUUUGGGUUAGCUGCUAGCAGUUGGAAAUUACUGUCUAUGUUCCUCUCCAUAAUGGUUAGAAAUGUCAAAUAAUGGAGCUCAGAACUGAUGCCUACAUGACAUUGCUGUAAACAUGCCAACCUGUGAAGAAUGCCUCAUUGCAGUCACAUUUUGUGACCAGUUAGGUAACAAGAUCUCUGAAAAUUAACAUAUUUUCAUCACAGAAUCACAGAAUUAUCAAGGUUGGAAAAGACCUAGAAGAUCAUCCAGUCCUACCAUUACCAAUACUUCCCAGCUAAAUCAUAUCUUUCAACAUCAGGACAAACCUCUGCUCCCCCACUUUUAGCAGAAGGACAUGAACUGCUUCUCAGGAAGAUUUUCAAUCAGGGGAACUAGAGAUUUUAAGUACCACAGUUCUUUUAGGAAGCCACAAACCUGAAUUCCUGUAUCAACAGCUGUAUCUGUUACGCAGAAGGAGAAUGAAGAUGAUAAUACAGUAAGGCAAUCUACAUGAAACAGUUUCUGGAGAGAAGAUUAAUCAGUCAUUCACGUGCCUUCCAUUUGUGAUCUAGAUUGGAGUUUGGAUACAGAUUCAGCUACAUAAAUUACACUGAAAAUGGAACUGACGUAGAAGAGACAUCAGCAUUACACCUCAGAGUAGUGCAGUGA